UAAGAAGAAAAAAGAAGUGUUGGAUCAAAAUCAUCCGAUUAGAUUUGCCUGAUUUUUAUAUUUUAAUUUCUAUUAAUUUCCGCCGGAGCUGUGGGUUAGGGUUUUUCUGAAAUUUGAGAUGGGAAUCUAAAAUGCUUCCUUCCAAAUUUCCAAUUCCAUUAAUGCUUGAAAAUUUGAGAUGGGUUUUGGCUUUUUCUUGAUUUUGGCAGAUUAAAUUUGAAAUUUAAAGAGUUUCUGGUUGGGUAAGAUUAGGCCAGUUUAUUUGAUGUAGGGUUUAGGGUUGAUUGCCGGCCGCAGUCACAAGAUCCUUCAGGUGCUAAUAUUUAUAUCAAGAGGAACAAAAAUACUACUAUAAUUUGAAUAUAUGUACAUAGUAAUUUGAUGCUGUUCAAUUGUUCAUACAACUUGUGUUUCCAAACCCAAUAGAGAAUUCAAUAAAUUUGAUGCUGUUCAUUUCGAUUGUGUAAUUGUUACGAAGAGAUAUUUGACAAGGAUCGUAGAAUUUAAUUAAAUAGUGUCAUGAAUUCACUUCAACCAUUAUCUUCUUUUGAGUUUAACCUUUCAUAGCUUUUCAGGGUUUUUUGUGGAAUUGAUGAAUUUUCUCAUGUCACUACCAUAGUUUUUUCUUUCUUGAGAUUAGAUUACCAGUUAACCAAAUAAUACUCUGCAGAAAAAACAUAGCUUAAAUUGCUAAUAUUCUUUUGCUUUUUAAAUUUAAGGUGCAAAAUUUUUUGUUUCUUUCAAAUGAAUUUUUAUUGAGUAACUCCUGCGUUUGUAUGUCAAGAUCAAUGACAUAUAGAGGGCGUGGAUGCGGUGGAUUUUCAGGUGGGGGCGGUUUUGGCUUUGCUAAGCAAGAGCCUUUUGUGCUUUUUCCUGACAUUGAUUUGCGUAUUCCCAAAGGUAUAUCUUAUCUAGAGAAAAAACACACUCUUACUGAGGAAGAAAACUUAAUCAAUCAAACUCGCAAGUUUCAAAAUAUUUGGAAAGGCUUUCCUUAUUAUCUUGAGCAGAGCCCUUCGAAUGGUUAGCAUGUUGUGGUUUAAUUUUCAUUAUUUUUGUUUAUUAUCAGUACAAGUGGUAGUGGAAUAAGCAAUCUAUGUUUAAUUUGCAUAUUCGAUCUGUUUUUCCCUUUCUUUUUCUCUAUAAAAUAUGAAUCCUAGCCAUUAUUUUGAUGUUGCGGAGAGCAUUUCCAUUGUUGUUGUAUGUUUGAAAAUUUGAACUCAUUAAAUAGACUAGCAAUGUUGUAGAGAUACUUGUAUGCUGUGUACAGUGAAAGUUCUGUUUAUGCAGUUCCAAUGAAAUUCAUACAGAUAUGUUGAUAAGCUUGGAUCUUAAAAAGUAAUCAAACAACAUGGAUAUGGUUGAAGAUAAAAGUACAUAUUUAUAGUGAAUCUGAAGUUGAUCUCACCAACGUUUAUAGUUAGAUGUAAGAAGCUCACACAUCCCUUCCAAAACCAAUAACAUUCUUCUGUUUGUGACCAUUAUGCAUAGUGGCACACUAUCAUCAAAUGUUUAAUUGAAGAAGAUUCAUAAAUAGCAAUAAUUUCUGACAUUCGUGUUGCAAGGAGCACCACUACUAAUUCCUGUUUAAAUAUAAUGUUCAAGAAUUUUUGCUAUAGGUGCCUUAUAUCCAACACAUGAAUGCUUACACUAUUCUUUUUAUUUGAAUACCAUAAUGCUUAGGAUUUGAUUCUUGAUUAUUUUUUGGAUUCUUUUGAACCUAUACCAGAUUAUGUUUGAUAAUAAUACAUUUCUUUAACAUGUGGUCGUAGAGAAGCAAAACAUGGAUGUGGAAAAAUAUUCUGACAGGACAAAGCCAAAAACCAUGAUAAGACGCGGUUCUCUUUUUAGUAUAUUGGAGCUCAAGGGAUUUCCUCAAGAACUGACUGGAGGUUUCCAAUCUGAAUAAUCGUAUUUAAAAAAUGGGAAUAGCAUUCAAUAUUAAUGCUCUAUUUUGGUUUUAUGGCUAUCUUUUUGCUUUUGAUAUGCAUGCUGAUGUGAUGGUAUUUCAGGUUCAAGGGUACAGCAGCCUGGCCGAAAGAGAGUUAGAUGGAAUCCUGACUCAGGUUCUAUAAGAUUAGAUGUUUUGUUUUACUGUUGUCUUCUUUCAUCUCUUUUUGGGGCUCUCUUUGCUCCUCAGAGAUUCUGAAUAUAACUGAUUAAAAAAACACAGACAGAGCUGGUGAAGUUGGAUUUAUUUGAAAAGCUUGAGCCGGUGUCAGGUGUGAGAAAGUCUUUAGAAUCUCUGUAACUACAAUACUUUGGGUCAAAUAUCACUUAUGAAAAGAACCUAUAUUAUUUGUGAUCUAAAGAUUUCUUGUCAUCGGUAGUUCAAUUUUUGUAUGCAUUAAGAUAACAUUUCUCCUUUGUAGUGCCAAAAUGAUGCAAAAGAAAAGAAAGAAUGUGAAGGUGAGGAUGUAAAUGAAAAUGAGGAGGAGGCGGAACCAGAGGACGAGGACUUUAGUGAUGAUGAUUACUGUAAGAACUCUGAUUUUGAGGAUGAUGAAGAUGAUUAUAAUAUGGAAGAUGACGGUGACGGCGAACCUCUUUUAUAGCGAGAAGGUGUAGCGUACGACGGAUACAUCUCAUGUCUCUUCAAUAAAACGGGGUAUGGCUGUGCAAUUAGUUACUAAUUUUCUGGCACAAAGCUCUUGUUCUUCGAGGAAAUGAUAUCUCAGUCUGCCAACAUUAUAGCUUAUUGGAUUUUGUUAAUACGAGGUCAGUCUUGCAUUGAUGAUACAUGUCUUGCAUAUAAACCAAAAAUGUUAUAUAUAACACUACUGCCUUAAUUCCAUAACUGGCAACUAGCAGCAAGCGCACACACAAGGUUAGCCAUGCCACAUUUCGUAUUCCAAACGCUCAAUCAUAACACUUUCCUUCUUAAAUUGUUCCCUCUAAUAUUAUAAACUAAGCAGCAAUGAGAGGAUAGGAAACAGAAACUCAUUGCCAUCGUCCAACGCCAAGAAUCAUUGGAGUAGAUGGGGGCUGCAGCACAUCACUACCAGAGGAAAUUCCAUAUUUUAUAUAUGGUUUGAAUAGCUGAACAGAAAAGCUUUGUUCUAUAUGUUAAUCACCAAAUCUCUAAUGGUAUCUAUUGUUAAAUGAUGUUUUGGGAUCAUGAGGGGGAGAUUAAUUUGAAGAUGUAUGCAGGUGCUACUUAUAUCGCAAUACAUUGGUUUCGAAAUUA